rnacentral:rRNA from 1 species
UACGAAGGGUGCAAGCGUUACUCGGAAUUACUGGGCGUAAAGCGUGCGUAGGUGGUUUGUUAAGUCUGUUGUGAAAGCCCCGGGCUCAACCUGGGAAUGGCAAUGGAUACUGGCAGGCUAGAGUGCGGUAGAGGGUAGUGGAAUUCCCGGUGUAGCGGUGAAAUGCGUAGAGAUCGGGAGGAACACCAGUGGCGAAGGCGGCUACCUGGACGGAUACUGACGCUGAGACGCGAAAGCGUGGGGAGCAAACAGG